GACGAACGCUGGCGGCGUGCUUAACACAUGCAAGUCGAACGGAAAGGCCCUGCUUUUGUGGGGUGCUCGAGUGGCGAACGGGUGAGUAACACGUGAGUAACCUGCCCUUGACUUUGGGAUAACUUCAGGAAACUGGGGCUAAUACCGGAUAGGAGCUCCUGCUGCAUGGUGGGGGUUGGAAAGUUUCGGCGGUUGGGGAUGGACUCGCGGCUUAUCAGCUUUUGGUGGGGUAGUGGCUUACCAAGGCUUUGACGGGUAGCCGGCCUGAGAGGGUGACCGGCCACAUUGGGACUGAGAUACGGCCCAGACUCCUACGGGAGGCAGCAGUGGGGAAUAUUGCACAAUGGGCGGAAGCCUGAUGCAGCAACGCCGCGUGCGGGAUGACGGCCUUCGGGUUGUAAACCGCUUUCGCCUGUGACGAAGCGUGAGUGACGGUAAUGGGUAAAGAAGCACCGGCUAACUACGUG
rnacentral:rRNA from 1 species